UUUUCUCUGUAUCUCUCUUGGUCUCUCUCUCUCUCUUUUUCUUGAUUUUUCUUCUUUUAGCUUUAUUUUCUUUUAUUAAUUUUAGUUUUAUUUUGGGAAUCAAGUGGAUAUAACAAGUUUACAUUUCAACAAGUGAAGGCUCUCCUAAGUUUGAUCGCUUCGACACACAAGAUUAAACUAGGUUUCUUGCCUUGCCUCAAAGGUGUAGUUUCUUUAACCAAAUGCACAAGGGCUUUUCUUCAUAUUAUCGUCUCUCUUUUCUCUAAUUUUUCUGAUUUUACUAUGAAGCUUCUCAUUUUUUUCAUUUUCAUCUUCUCAUUUGCUUUCUAUAUAACCCAUGUAACGAGUUUUAGGCCGGUGACUCCAAAACCAGUCGGCUUUAGGGUACCAAAUUUUAAACCCUUGCAGGCUUAUUCACUCGAGUUAUAAAGGCUCGAUCAUAUGACUUUCAUUUAACCUCUUUCCCUCUUGCUUUCUAUAUGACCCUUUUAGCGAGCUUUAGGCGGUGACUCCCAAGCCAAUUGACUUUAGGGCACCAUAUUUGAAAUAUCCUUACAGGCUUACUUGCUCGAGUCAUAAAGGCAUGAAAAGAAGUGUAUUGUUCUCACAAAUUUAUUUUAUGCCCUUAUUGUUCUAGACAUUCAGUCUUAAUUUAAGAUUUUCACCUAAUUUUCACCUCACUGGUCUAAACAAUCCACACAAUAAAAUUCAUGCACAGAGCCUCCACUCAUCUCAAUGCUCUCUUACAAUAGCUCAACCAUCACCAAACUGUCUUAAGGCCGUUUACGGUUUAAUUCAAUAGAAGGUUAUCAUUCUUUUUCUAUUUUAUGCUCAAAAUCCAGUCAUUUAUCUAACAUGUUAAGCAUGAAUAGUGUGCACAGAUAAUGUCAAGUUUUGCAUCAACAAAUGUCAGUUAGCCCAGUGUCAGUUAGCCCAGUUGCAUCAGAUCCAAAAUUUUUGCAGUUUAAACUAGUCCAAUUAUAACAUCAUAGUUAGCAAGGUUAUCAAGCCCACACAAGCAUGCACGAAAAGAAUUAAAGCAAAACUGAAUAAAAAGUAAAAAAAAAAAUUCAUGCAAACACUGUGGAAUACAUAUACCGAUGAACACAAGUAACAUAGAUACUUAGUUAAAAAUAUAAAUUUAUGUCACCUCUCCAAGCCAAUUGACUUUAGGGCACCAAAUUUGAAAUAUCCUUACAGGCUUACUUGCUCGAGUCAUAAAGGCAUGAAAAGAAGUGUAUUGUUCUCACAAAUUUAUUUUAUGCCCUUAUUGUUCUAGACAUUCAGUCUUAAUUUAAGAUUUUCACCUAAUUUUUACCUCACUGGUCUAAACAAUCCACACAAUAAAAUUCAUGCACAGAGCCUCCACUCAUCUCAAUGCUCUCUUACAAUAGCUCAACCAUCACCAAACUGUCUUAAGGCCGUUUACGGUUUAAUUCAAUAGAAGGUUAUCAUUCUUUUUCUAUUUUAUGCUCAAAAUCCAGUCAUUUAUCUAACAUGUUAAGCAUGAAUAGUGUGCACAGAUAAUGUCAAGUUUUGCAUCAACAAAUGUCAGUUAGCCCAGUUGCAACAGAUCCAAAAUUUUUACAGUUUAAACUAGUCCAAUUAUAACAUCAUAGCUAGCAAGAUUAUCAAGCUCACACAAGCAUGCAC
rnacentral:lncRNA from 1 species